rnacentral:snRNA from 1 species
AAGUGUUACAGCUCUUUUAGAAUUUGUCCAGCAGGUUUUCUGACUCGCGUCGGAAAACCCCU